rnacentral:rRNA from 1 species
AGCGAACGCUGGCGGCAUGCCUAACACAUGCAAGUCUGACGGGCCUGGGGCUUGCUCCAGGUCAGUGGCGGACGGGUGAGGAACGCGUAGGAACGUAUCCAAGGGUGGGGGAUAACCGCGGGAAACUGCGGCUAAUACCGCAUGGGGCCUAAGGGCCAAAGGCUGAGGGAAACCUUGGUCGCCGAUGGAGCGGCCUGCGUCCGAUUAGCUCGUUGGUGGGGUGACGGCUUACCAAGGCACGAUCGGUAGCUGGUCUGAGAGGAUGAUCAGCCACACUGGGACUGAGACACGGCCCAGACCCCUACGGGAGGCAGCAGUGGGGAGUAUUGGACAAUGGGCGAAAGCCUGAUCCAGCAAUGCCGCGUGGGUGAAGAAGGUCUUCGGAUUGU